AAAACUCGGCAGAGGAUCUGAGUUAAGAUGUUGUCUGAAGACUGAACCGGGAAGACAGUGGACUUUCUCCGCGGUAAAGAGCAAAACUUCAGCUUAAAAGGAUUUGCUUGCUUUCUUUGGCUAUUACCUUCUACCUGACUUACCACCGAAGUGAAGUUAGACCUACAGAGGAGACGUUAAAUCAGAAAUGUCUCUACACUGAUAGCAAAUCUCUGCAAUAAUGCUAACAAGCCGCAAGACCUGAUUUUUCACCUAUCCUGGUAUUAUGCUGAUGUCAUCUAAUUGAUUUCAAUGGAUUACUCUGGUCAACCUAGUGUCAGGCUCAGAGGCUAUACAUCUCUGUCUGCUUACGAAGAGUUGCUACUGCUGUCUAAGCCCUGGAAUAAGGAGCUGAUCUCAGACCCUGUCUGUGCUGAACUGCUAAGAAGAGGAAGAGAAGAGAGAGAAGCCUCCAGGUUUUGUAGACUGGGUUUAUAGGAGACUUAGUAGGAAAUAUGUGGCCAUAGCACUCUGCUCCUUCACCACAGACUCUUGGAAGACUGUUCGUUUUCCUCAUCCCCAAAAAUGAAGGUGAUCAUCUUUUAUCUCGCUUCUUAGCUAAACUGUCACAAAAUGCCACCUCAACAUUUGAAAAGUGCUGAGUUUAUUUGGAAAGCAUUAAGUCUUGCAAAGGAUUACAUUGGAAGAGGGGCCAGCUGGGCUGGAGGGCAGGUGGGCUCUGAGGAGUGUUAACUGCUGGAAGGAGAAGAUAGGGAAGGAGAAGGCUCCCUAUUAAAGGGCUGGAUACCGAGGACUGGUCCUGUGCAAAUGAUCGGAGCUCCCAAGUACUGGCAUUUAUACUGUGCUUCAAGUGAGACCAAAGGAUGGAAAUCUGGCUGUCUGAGUUAUUUUUGGAUUUUUAUUAUGUUCAAGGAUUAAUUUGGAUGACAACAAUGGUGGUUUUAGUGCAACACGUAGAAUUAAAAAAAGCAGUCUGGCAGAAGAUCUGAGAAGCAGAAGGUGAAAAUAAAUAAAAUGGAGCAGUGAAGAAUGCA
rnacentral:lncRNA from 1 species